AAAUCUGGUGAAAAUGGACAUUUGAUCCGCCAUGCACUCAAGAUUCUGUAGAAGAUUAGGUGCUCCCGAGGGCUACUUGUUGCAAGACUUGGGGAGAUUUGAUAACAACAUUUACAAUUCAAUUCCUCUUUCUCAUUUCUACAUCCCUUAUAGAACUUCUAGUUCUUUUCGGUUACAGAAUAAUUUUCCCUAGAAAGGUGAAAGAUUCUAUUGUCAACUCAGCAUGAAUAAUUCUUGGGUCCUUUCUUCUUUCUAAAGGAAUGACACCAUCGCCAUUGCACCGGGAACGGGGCUGACAAAAAUAUACGGAAGCUCUUUUUCAAACUUCUAACGUAUGUCAACUGUCAACUCAAGGGCAUGAAGUUUGGAAUGCCGUCUCGAGAGACUUCGUUGUAAGUUUGGAUUCAUCUAUCUUACUGUGUAAACAUUUAUAGCAAAUAAUUUUAAGUGUGUA